rnacentral:lncRNA from 1 species
AUAUAGACUAAAAUAAUUUUUAUCAUAAAAGCUCCUGGAAAGUCAUAGAUGUUGGUGAUCUUCAUAUAAGUCUUCACCGCUUGCAAUAGAUAGUUAAUUGUAAUAUCAUAGCUAAUACAGUCUCAUAGAUAAGCAAAAAAUGCUUCUCUAUCGAUCGAGAUCAAAAUCCAUUUUUUUGUAAUAUUUGUGUUCAAAUCUUUUCCACAAAGAAUGCUUUGAACAAAAUAAAGCAAGCACAACGUUUUUUUUAUAUAUAUUUCGAUGUCGAAGAAUUUGGUAUACUUAUUUGAAAUUUAAUAUUCACAUCUUUAAGUUGUAAGUAAUUUUCGAGAAUAGAAGAUCAAAAGAACUUUUUCAAUUUUUAUUCAUCUAAAAUCAGAAAACUUACAUAAUUUUGACUUAGUAGUGAAAGAGUCUCUUAAAUCUAGACUAGAUCAUAUUAAUCAUUAACUCAAAACUGUAAUUUGCAUACUUAAUCGGCUUCACAAAGAAGUUAUCGAAUAAAGUACUGAUCGGAGAAGGAGAAGAGUCAGCAAUAAGAGAUGUCUCAUUCUCUAGAAUAGGUAUAUCAUGUUGUUCCUCCGCAACUCCUUCACUAAAUUAAAAAAAGAUUUGACUUGACCUGGUCAAACUUGUCACCAAUUUCAAUUCUUUCUUGUGACUUGGGUUUUCCAUUUUUUGUAAAAAUAAAAAUCAGAUUUUUCUUAUGUUGUAAUUCUAACUCCCGCCAUUGUUAUACAUGUUUGUGGUUGCAUUGAUUAAGGAGGAGGAGAAAAUGGAUAUCGAUCAGUAAGAAGCCCAUGUAUUGGAUAUUUUAGAUUGGCUAAGCCCACUAAAUUCGAGGCUAAUAUCUCAAUUUAGAGGAAGGAAAAAGUUUGAUUUCAAGAAGGAAACUAUUUUCUUGGAAAACAAUUGAGUUUUUUUGCUUAUUUUCUAUUGUUUGCUAAGUAAGCAAGAAAAUAUUAUUCUAAGAGCAUUUAAAUGCUAUUUAGAAAAACACAAUGGAGGCGGU